rnacentral:rRNA from 1 species
GAGACUCUGUGCGCGUGCAUAUCAAUAAGCGGAGGAAAAGAAACUAACAAGGAUUCCCCUAGUAACGGCGAGUGAAGCGGGAAGAGCUCAAAUUUGAAAUCUUAAAGGUUUCCCUUGACGAAUUGUAGUUUAAAGAAGUGUUUUCUGUUGGAGUUUCGGUAAAAGUUCUUUGGAAUAGGACAUCAUAGAGGGUGAGAAUCCCGUAUUUGACCGUUACUUUCCAGCUGUGUGAUACACUUUCAAAGAGUCGGAUUGUUUGGGAAUGCAGUCCAAAAUGGGUGGUAAAUUUCAUCUAAAGCUAAAUAUUGGCGAGAGACCGAUAGCGAACAAGUACCGUGAGGGAAAGAUGAAAAGAACUUUGAAAAGAGAGUUAAACAGUACGUGAAAUUGUCAAAAGGGAAGCGUUUGACACCAGUGUUGUUUAGUUGAAAAUCAAUUCAAUAAUUUUUGAUUUUGAGUAGUAUUGACUUCAUCAGCUUGCUGCUUUCUUUUCCGAAAUUAUUGAAUGCACUUUUCAGUUAACAAGUCAACAUCAAUUUCUUUUGUUGUAAAAGGGUAAGAGGAAGGUGGCUUACGCUUCGGCGUAAGUGUUUAUAGCCUUUUACCUCUGCAAUCGGAGAGAUUGAGGACAGCAGCGUAGACUCCUUCGGGGGUUAGAUACACUUGUGCUAAGCUAUAGCCUUGUAUAGACAACUUGUUGACUAUGCUCAGUCAUGUAGCUUACUCGCUUAUGCUAUUUUACCUACGCUUAGGAUGUUGACAGCAGUAUAGACUGU